UACAGAGGGUGCGAGCGUUAAUCGGAAUUACUGGGCGAAAGCGUGCGUAGACGGUAGCGUAAGUCAGAUGUGAAAGCCCCGGGCUCAACCUGGGAAUUGCAUUUGAGACUGCUCUGCUCGGGUGCGGAAGAGGGAAGCGGAAUUUCCGGUGUAGCGGUGAAAUGCGUAGAUAUCGGAAGGAACACCAGUGGCGAAAGCGGCUUCCUGG
rnacentral:rRNA from 1 species